UACGUAGGAUGCGAGCGUUGUCCGGAAUUAUUGGGCGUAAAGAGAACGUAGGCGGUUUGUUAAGUUUGGGCUUAAAGACUGGGGCUCAACCCCAGGAGUGGCUCGAAAACUGACAGACUAGAGGAUGGCAGAGGAAAGUGGAAUUCCCAGUGUAGCGGUGAAAUGCGUAGAUAUUGGGAGGAACACCAGUGGCGAAAGCGGGUCUCUGGGCCGAUACUGACGCUGAGGAGCGAAAGCGUGGGGAGCGAACAGG
rnacentral:rRNA from 1 species